rnacentral:rRNA from 1 species
CCAAGGAUGUUUUCAUUAAUCAAGAACGAAAGUUAGGGGAUCGAAGAUGAUUAGAUACCAUCGUAGUCUUAACCAUAAACUAUGCCGACUAGGGAUUGGCGGUCGUUAAUUUACAGGACUCCGUCAGCACCUUCCGAGAAAUCAAAGUCUUUGGGUUCCGGGGGGAGUAUGGUCGCAAGGCUGAAACUUAAAGAAAUUGACGGAAGGGCACCACCAGGAGUGGAGCCUGCGGCUUAAUUUGACUCAACACGGGGAAACUUACCAGGUCCGGACAUAGUGAGGAUUGACAGAUUGAGAGCUCUUUCUUGAUUCUAUGGGUGGUGGUGCAUGGCCGUUCNNNNNNNNNNNNNNNNNNNNUCUGGUUAAUUCCGUUAACGAACGAGACCCCCGCCUGCUAAAUAGUGUGGCUUACGCUUUUGCGUAGGUGCGUGCUUCUUAGAGGGACUUUCGGUGACUAACCGAAGGAAGUUGGGGGCAAUAACAGGUCUGUGAUGCCCUUAGAUGUCCUGGGCCGCACGCGCGCUACACUGAUGCAUGCAACGAGUUCUUUUUUUUCCUGGGUCGAGAGGCCUGGGUAAUCUGUUGAACGUGCAUCGUGAUAGGGAUAGUUCAUUGCAAUUAUUGAACUUGAACGAGGAAUUCCUAGUAAACGCGAGUCAUCAGCUCGCAUUGAUUACGUCCCUGCCCUUUGUACACACCGCCCGUCGCACCUACCGAUUGAAUGUUUCGGUGAAGAUUCCGGACCGUGGCUCGCGCGCUUCACGGCGCUCUUGCCGUGGGAAGUUAUCUAAACCU